GCGAGAGUAGUAUAAUGGUAUUAUGCAACCUUCCCAAGGUUGAGACGGGGGUUCGAUUCCCCUCUCUCGCU
rnacentral:tRNA from 1 species